UACGUAGGGAGCAAGCGUUGUCCGGAAUCAUUGGGCGUAAAGCGCGCGUAGGUGGCCUCAUAAGUCCGUUGUGAAAGUCAAAGGCUCAACCUUUGAAAGCCGAUGGAUACUGUUAGGCUAGAGUCCGGAAGAGGCGAGUGGAAUUCCUGGUGUAGCGGUGGAAUGCGCAGAUAUCAGGAGGAACACCAAUAGCGAAGGCAGCUCGCUGGGACGGUACUGACACUAAGGCGCGAAAGCGUGGGGAGCGAACAGG
rnacentral:rRNA from 1 species